UACGAAGGGGGCUAGCGUUGCUCGGAAUCACUGGGCGUAAAGGGUGCGUAGGCGGGUUUUUAAGUCAGGGGUGAAAUCCUGGAGCUCAACUCCAGAACUGCCUUUGAUACUGAAGAUCUUGAGUCCGUGAGAGGUGAGUGGAACUGCGAGUGUAGAGGUGAAAUUCGUAGAUAUUCGCAAGAACACCAGUGGCGAAGGCGGCUCACUGGCCCGGUACUGACGCUGAGGCACGAAAGCGUGGGGAGCAAACGGG
rnacentral:rRNA from 1 species